GCAUAUCAAUAAGCGGAGGAAAAGAAACUAACUAGGAUUCCCUUAGUAACGGCGAGUGAACCGGGAUGAGCUCAAAUUUAAAAUCUGGCGUCUUUCAGGCGUCCGAGUUGUAAUCUAUAGAGGCGUUUUCCGCGCCGGACCGCGUCCAAGUCUCUUGGAAUAGAGUAUCAAAGAGGGUGACAAUCCCGUACUUGACGCGACAACCGGUGCUCUGUGAUACGUUCUCAAUGAGUCGAGUUGUUUGGGAAUGCAGCUCUAAAUGGGUGGUAAAUUCCAUCUAAGGCUAAAUAUUGGCGAGAGACCGAUAGCGAACAAGUACCGUGAGGGAAAGAUGAAAAGCACUUUGGAAAGAGAGUUAAACAGCACGUGAAAUUGUUAAAAGGGAAACGAUUGAAGUCAGUCGUGUGAAAGGUAUUCAGCCGUCUCUGGCGGUGUAUUUGCCUUUCACGGGUCAACAUCAGUUUGAUCCGGUAGAAAAAGGCAGGAGGAAGGUGGCACCCUCGGGUGUGUUAUAGCCUCUUGUCAUAUGUGCCGGACCAGACUGAGGAACGCAGCUUGCCGCAAGGCCGGGGUUCGCCCACGUACAAGCUUAGGAUGUUGACAUAAUGGCUUUAAACGACCCGUCUU
rnacentral:rRNA from 1 species